CAAAAUUUGGAAAUUAUUGAGCCAUUUCAUUCAAACCUCAUUUGGAAGCUGUGUUAAUGCAAUUGCAUUGUUUUUCUUCUAGGUUUUGAAGAAAGACAUGGAUGUAUAUCAGCUCCAGUGGUAUGGUUAUUGUCUGUUUAGGGCCCUUGCAUGUUUGCAUAAGCAGGAUUUGCAAAGCAAGUACACUAUUGGAAGUAAAUCAAAAUCAAGUCAUAAUGUUUCUUGCUUUGGAGAUG